CCCUUAGAUGUUCUGGGCCGCACGCGUGCUACACUGAGUGGAUCAGCGGGUCAGGUUACGCGAAAGUGUUUCCUAAUCUUGAAAUCCGCUCGUGAUGGGGAUUGACGGUUGCAAUUUUCCGUCAUGAACGAGGAAUACCUUGUAAGCGCGGGUCAUCAUCCCGCGCUGAAUACGUCCCUGCCCUUUGUACACACCGCCCGUCGCUCCUACCGAUUGAGUGGUCCGGUGAGGCUUUGGGAUCUGAGCAAAGAGAGCGUUUCGCUCGUUUUGCCCGGAAAACUCAGUCGAACCUUAUCAUUUAGAGGAAGGAGAAGUCGUAACA
rnacentral:rRNA from 1 species